UACGAACUGUGCAAACGUUAUUCGGAAUCACUGGGCUUAAAGCGCGUGUAGGCGGAUUGGAACGUCGGCGCCUGAAAUCCCCCGGCUCAACCGGGGAACGCGGCCCGAAACGACCAGUCUGGAGGGACGUAGGGGGGACUGGAACUUCCGGUGGAGCGGUGAAAUGCGUAGAGAUCCGGAGGAAUACCAGUGGCGCAAGCGGCUAACUGGACGGGCAUUGACGCUCAGGCACGAAAGCGUGGGGAGCAAACAGG
rnacentral:rRNA from 1 species